UACAGAGGUCUCAAGCGUUGUUCGGAUUCAUUGGGCGUAAAGGGUGCGUAGGCGGCGCCGAUAAGUCAGGUGUGAAAUCUCGGGCUUAACUCCGAAACUGCAUUCGAUACUGCCGUGCUUGAGGACUGGAGAGGAGACUGGAAUUUACGGUGUAGCGGUGAAAUGCGUAGAUAUCGUAAGGAAGACCAGUGGCGAAGGCGGGUCUCUGGACAGUUCCUGACGCUGAGGCACGAAGGUCCAGGGGAGCAAACGGG
rnacentral:rRNA from 1 species